rnacentral:rRNA from 1 species
CCUACGGGAGGCUGCAGUAGGGAAUCUUCCACAAUGGGCGAAAGCCUGAUGGAGCAACGCCGCGUGGGUGAAGAAGGUCUUCGGAUCGUAAAACCCUGUUGUCAGAGAAGAAAGCGCGUGAGAGUAACUGUUCACGUUUCGACGGUAUCUAACCAGAAAGCCACGGCUAACUACGUGCCAGCAGCCGCGGUAAUACGUAGGUGGCAAGCGUUAUCCGGAUUUAUUGGGCGUAAAGGGAACGCAGGCGGUCUUUUAAGUCUGAUGUGAAAGCCUUCGGCUUAACCGGAGUAGUGCAUUGGAAACUGGGAGACUUGAGUGCAGAAGAGGAGAGUAGAACUCCAUGUGUAGCGGUGAAAUGCGUAGAUAUAUGGAAGAACACCAGUGGCGAAGGCGGCUCUCUGGUC